GGAACAGAGCUGUUGAUGUAUCAAAAAGGGAAUGCGUCUGCCUCAGCCGCUGGGAUUAGUGCAGAGCAAUGGCAGCUUCUUCCUUUCGCUGUGCCCCGUUGUGCAGGCAUGGCUCCAAUGAGCCAGCUCCAGUGAAAGACAACACUGGCAGCUUGUGCAGCCCUUGCCCAAGAAGCAAAGUUUUCCACCGUGCUGCUUGCUUUGAGGAUAUUCUGUGGCUCAGAGCACACGUGGGGUUGCUGCAUUUCUUCUGCCUCCCAUCUCUGAGGUAUGGCUGCUUCCGGGGUUAGCACAGCCCCUAUUUCCCCCACCAGUUGAACUGAGGUGGUGGCACAGAUCACAUCUCUGCAGAGGACAUUUUUACUGGGAGGUGGUGUUACUGAUAAAAUAUGGAUGGUAAUGGCUAACAGUCCUCACGUCUGGCACCUUUGUGGGUGCUGUGGUUUAGGCUGUGGGGUCUUGCUCCGUCCCCAUUUCCCAAAGACCCCAAAAGCUUGGAGAGGAAAAGCAGCCCAUGGAGCUGGCCCUGCAGCUGCGGUCCCGUAGGAUAAACAGGUGUUUAUGAGCACCUCUGUUCAGGGUCAAAGUAAAGCAGGCUAAGAACAAAAACCUGAGGAAUA
rnacentral:lncRNA from 1 species